ensembl:snRNA U6 U6 spliceosomal RNA
GUGCUUGCUUGGCAGCUCAUCUACUAACAUUGGAACGAUACAGGGAAGAUUAGUGUGGCCCCUGUGCAAGGACGACACGUAUGUUCCUGAAGCGUUCCAUAUUUUU